CGUGCUCACUGCAGGGGGCCUGAAAAUGGCUUCUCUGUUUAUAACACACCAAACAGGAAUCUGGGUUCAUUGUGAUGAGGGGCACAAAACUUGGGGCCUCCCUGCCCAUAAAGUUCAUUCAUGU
ensembl:snoRNA